rnacentral:rRNA from 1 species
GUCGAACGAUGAAGCCCAGCUUGCUGGGUGGAUUAGUGGCGAACGGGUGAGUAACACGUGAGUAACCUGCCCCCGACUCUGGGAUAAGCCCGGGAAACUGGGUCUAAUACCGGAUAUUACCUUUGACCGCAUGGUUGUUGGUGGAAAGAUUUAUCGGUGGGGGAUGGACUCGCGGCCUAUCAGCUUGUUGGUGAGGUAAUGGCUCACCAAGGCGACGACGGGUAGCCGGCCUGAGAGGGUGACCGGCCACACUGGGACUGAGACACGGCCCAGACUCCUACGGGAGGCAGCAGUGGGGAAUAUUGCACAAUGGGCGAAAGCCUGAUGCAGCGACGCCGCGUGAGGGAUGACGGCCUUCGGGUUGUAAACCUCUUUCAGUAGGGAAGAAGCGAAAGUGACGGUACCUGCAGAAGAAGCGCCGGCUAACUACGUGCCAGCAGCCGCGGUAAUACGUAGGGCGCAAGCGUUAUCCGGAUUUAUUGGGCGUAAAGAGCUCGUAGGCGGUUUGUCGCGUCUGCCGUGAAAGUCCGAGGCUCAACCUCGGAUCUGCGGUGGGUACGGGCAGACUAGAGUGAUGUAGGGGAGACUGGAAUUCCUGGUGUAGCGGUGAAAUGCGCAGAUAUCAGGAGGAACACCGAUGGCGAAGGCAGGUCUCUGGGCAUUUACUGACGCUGAGGAGCGAAAGCAUGGGGAGCGAACAGGAUUAGAUACCCUGGUAGUCCAUGCCGUAAACGUUGGGCACUAGGUGUGGGGGACAUUCCACGUUUUCCGCGCCGUAGCUAACGCAUUAAGUGCCCCGCCU